AAUCAACGCUGGCGGCGUGCCUCAGACAUGCAAGUCGAACGAUUAAGACUUCCUUCGGGAAGUGCAUAAAAGUGGCGCACGGGUGAGUAACACGUAAGUAAUCUACCUUCGAGUGGGGAAUAACGUUCGGAAACGAACGCUAACACCGCAUAAUGCAGCGGCAUCGCAAGAUGACAGUUGUUAAAGGAAUUUAUUUCGCUUGAAGAGGAGCUUGCGGCAGAUUAGCUAGUUGGUAAGGUAACGGCUUACCAAGGCUACGAUCUGUAUCCGGUCUAAGAGGACGGUCGGACACACUGACACUGAAUAACGGGUCAGACUCCUACGGGAGGCAGCAGUCGGGAAUUUUGGCAAUGGGCGAAAGACCUGACCCCAGCAAACGCCGCGUGAAGGAUGAAGUAUUUCGGUAUGUAAACUUCGAAAGAAUGGGAAGAAUAAAUGACGGACCAUUAUAAGCUCCGGCUAACUAACGUGCCUAGCAGACC
rnacentral:rRNA from 1 species